UGGGGAAUAUUGCACAAUGGGCGCAAGCCUGAUGCAGCCACGCCGCGUGUAUGAAGAAGGUCUUCGGGUUGUAAAGUACUUUCAGUGGGGAGGAAGGGAGUAAAGUUAAUACCUUUGCUCAUUGACGUUACCCGCAGAAGAAGCACCGGCUAACUCCGUGCCAGCAGCCGCGGUAAUACGGAGGGUGCAAGCGUUAAUCGGAAUUACUGGGCGUAAAGCGCACGCAGGCGGUUUGUUAAGUCAGAUGUGAAAUCCCCGGGCUCAACCUGGAAACUUCAUCUGAUUCUGGCAAGCUUGAGUCUCGUAGGGGGGGGUAGAAUUCCAGGUGUAACGGUGAAAUACGUAGAAGUCUGGAGGAAUACCAGUGAGGAAGGCGGCCCCCUGGACAGAGACUGACGCUCAGGUGCAAAAGCGUGGGGAGCAAACAGG
rnacentral:rRNA from 1 species